rnacentral:rRNA from 1 species
AGUGAACGCUGGCGGUAGGCCUAACACAUGCAAGUCGAACGGCAGCACAGUAAGAGCUUGCUCUUACGGGUGGCGAGUGGCGGACGGGUGAGGAAUACAUCGGAAUCUACUUUUUCGUGGGGGAUAACGUAGGGAAACUUACGCUAAUACCGCAUACGACCUACGGGUGAAAGCAGGGGAUCUUCGGACCUUGCGCGAUUGAAUGAGCCGAGGUCGGAUUAGCUAGUUGGCGGGGUAAAGGCCCACCAAGGCGACGGUCCGUAGCCGGUCUGAGAGGAUGGACAGUCACACUGGAACUGAGAAACGGUCCAGACUCCUACGGGAGGCAGCAGUGGGGAAUAUUGGACAAUGGGCGCAAGCCUGAUCCAGCCAUACCGCGUGGGGGGAGAAGGCCUUCGGGUUGUAAAGCCCUUUUGUUGGGAAAGAAAAGCAGCAGGGUAAUAUCCCGCUGUUCUGACGGUACCCAGAGAAUAAGCACCGGCUAACUUCGUG